UACGGAGGGGGCCAGCGUUGUUCGGAAUCAUUGGGCGUAAAGAGCGCGCAGGCGGUCGGUCAAGUCGCGUGUGAAAGCCCCCGGCUCAACUGGGGAGGGUCACGCGAUACUGAUCGACUCGAAGGCAGGAGAGGGUAGUGGAAUUCCCGGUGUAGUGGUGAAAUGCGUAGAUAUCGGGAGGAACACCAGUGGCGAAGGCGACUACCUGGCCUGUUCUUGACGCUGAGGCGCGAAAGCUAGGGGAGCAAACGGG
rnacentral:rRNA from 1 species